CAUUAACCAAAUCACCUGUGAUUAUUUUGAAAAAUAAAGACUUAUAGCCGUAAGUAUGAGUCUUGGUAAUUCAAAAAAUAAAAAUGGUAAACUUGGUUUAUGUCACUGAUCUCUAUAAUAACUGGAUAGCGCAUCUCCUAAUAAAAUUUUGAAAUGUUGCUGCAAAUCUUUUUGAGAGAGCCAUUACUAUGGAGAACCAUCUAAACCAUACAAGUGUGGAAACAUAGGUGUAAAUCUUAAACACAUUUGUGAUAUAUAAUUGUAGAAUGUUAUAUGUUAUAAGUUUGGAAAUUAUAUUCUGCCAAAAAAUAUUUUUUUAAUGUAUUUUAGCAGAACAUACCUGGCCCGCAUUUGAUCCUGAAAAACGUUCUUUUUGGACCAAAUGCUGGCUGGGUAAUUUGAACUUGUAAAUGAACUUAUAUUCAUAAUUUUAAAACUGCUUAUGAUCUGAUCUGAUUUUAUUUUUGUCAUUUGUUUAUUUAGAUUAAUGUGAAAUAAACUGAUGAGUUUAUUUAACUUAGCUGGUAAAAAAAAGAGUUUUUGUGAAGCAAAUUUAAUGAAGACAAUUAUAGAAUGAAGUUCAUUCAUUUGCUGGCAACAUUUUUAAAUGUGGUCCAGAUCGAAAAAAUUUGGUGCUAGAAAUUGUCGAUAGUGGAAGUGAUAGAUGCAUCGAACCUAAUUUGUAAUUAAUUUCUGUAAAUAAAUUUCACUAUACUAA